rnacentral:lncRNA from 1 species
CAGAAAUCAAACAUCCAUACAAAUCUACAAGGGUGAGACUAUUUGAACUCACUAAACUACUCACUAAGCUCACUUUAAAAUAUAUAUUUUUUGUGAUCAAAAUACCCUUAAAUUAAAGUACAAUUAUGGACAAAAAAAGAAAAGAAAAGAAUUUUUACUCUAUGAACCCAUCUUUUACAUUCAACAUAAUUUUGUUGAAGUCUAAUUAAACCCAAAUCGACUAAAGGCAUGAUACUUCUUCCAAGCCUCAUAUUUUUGUUAACUGGACACAUGUAAUUACAUUAAAGGUAACAAAGUUGGUGGUUAUGUCAUCGAUGGCGAUGACAACCUCCUUCCUCUGUAGCGGCCAGCUAAGCUUGGGUUAACAUUGGCCGAAGACUUGCUGUUGUUGCAAGUGCAGCAAAAGGAGCAAAUGGUGAAGGUGAAAGACAAAAAAGUUAGAUUGAAUGUUGAGGCCAGCAAUGGAAAUGGGUGGAGGAGUUGCAGCAGCUGCAUCUGUUUGCUCUGUUGCAUAAAUUUACUUACAUUCAAUCUAUGAAAUUUACUUUCAGAUGUUGUGGCUUAUUUUAUGUUGGUGACUACUAAGAAAGCAAUGAUAUGAAUAUAUAUUGUUUGUUUGUUGCCUCCAUGGAGAAUUUGAAUAAUCUACAUGUUGAAUCUAAGGUUGAGACAUUGUUAAAUGGAUGUAAAAUGGGAUGAGUAAUGUUUGGCUCAAAAUGUUGACACUAGAGCCAUAUUAAUGCAAGGCUUUGCCGAACAAGGAUUGACUAGCCACAACAAUUUCCUGUCGGAAGGCAAUUUCAUCUCAAAAAAUAAUGGUAAGAAGGAUGAAAGUGUGCUGUAGCUAUACUUUUCUGAAUCAUAUUAAUAAAGGAAAUUUUCAGUUUAAUGAAAAAUAAAGGAAAAAAACCAUUUAUU